AGUCAACAUGCCCAGAGGACGUGGAUAACCUCGGGAAACUGAGGAUAAACCGCGAUAGGUCAUAAUUACUGGAAUGUGUUAUGGCCCAAAUCUAUAUGGCCUCUGGAUUGGACUGCGGCCGAUCAGGCUGUUGGUGAGGUAAUGGCCCACCAAACCUUUUACCGGUACGGGCUCUGAGAGGAGGAGCCCGGAGAUGGGCACUGAGACAAGGGCCCAGGCCCUAUGGGGCGCAGCAGGCGCGAAACCUCUGCAAUAGGCGAAAGCCUGACAGGGUUACUCUGAGUGAUUCCCGCUAAGGGAAUCUUUUGGCAUCUCUAAGAAUGGUGCAGAAUAAGGGGUGGGCAAGUCUGGUGUCAGCCGCCGCGGUAAUACCAGCACCCCGAGUGGUCGGGACGAUUAUUGGGCCUAAAGCAUCCGUAGCCGGUCUUGCAAGUCUUCCGUUAAAUCCAGCUGCUUAACAGAUGGGCUGCGGAGGAUACUACAAGGCUAGGAGGCGGGAGAGGCAAGCGGUACUCAGUGGGUAGGGGUAAAAUCCUCUGAUCCAUUGAAGACCACCAGUGGCGAAGGCGGCUUGCCAGAACGCGCUCGACGGUGAGGGAUGAAAGCUGGGGGAGCAAACCGGAUUAGAUACCCGGGUAGUCCCAGCUGCAAACGAUGCAGACUCGGUGAUGGGCCGGCUUUAUGCCGGCUCAGUGCCGCAGGGAAGCCGUUAAGUCUGCCGCCUGGGGAGUACGGUCGCAAGACUGAAACUUAA
rnacentral:rRNA from 1 species